CUACGUAGGGGGCGAGCGUUGUCCGGAAUGAUUGGGCGUAAAGGGCGCGUAGGCGGCCCGGUAAGUCUGGAGUGAAAGUCCUGUUUUUAAGAUGGGAAUUGCUUUGGAUACUGUCGGGCUUGAGUGCAGGAGAGGUAAGUGGAAUUCCCAGUGUAGCGGUGAAAUGCGUAGAGAUUGGGAGGAACACCAGUGGCGAAGGCGACUUACUGGACUGUAACUGACGCUGAGGCGCGAAAGUGUGGGGAGCAAACAGGAUUAGAUACCCUGGUAGUCCACACUGUAAACGAUGAAUGCUAGGUGUAGGGGGUAUCGACCCCCUCUGUGCCGCAGUUAACACAAUAAGUAUUCCGCCUGGGGAGUACGGCCGCAAGGUUGAAACUCAAAUGAAUUGACGGGG
rnacentral:rRNA from 1 species